rnacentral:lncRNA from 1 species
CAAAACGAAUAUGGAGCUACUUGCAUGUUUUGAGCUGGACUUAUGGGAAUCCUUGAUUAAAGAGGACACCUUCCCGUGGGAGAAAUCCCCCGCCCGCGGGAUUUCCCUUGUCGAACCUUGCGCGUACAAUUAAGUGCGCUUAUGCAUGUGCACGACCUUAUUGUUGCAUGCACGCCCAUGGCAUGAGGUGUGCGCAUUGCUUCGUUCUCUAAAUGUAUGCCAUAGGCAGUCAUGCGUGUAAUUAUCCCAUGAGAAUAUGGA